UACAGAGGGUGCAAGCGUUAUUCGGAAUUAUUGGGCAUAAAGCGUAUGUAGGUGGUUUAGUAAGUCUGAUGUGAAAUCCCCGGACUCAAUUCGGGAAGUGCAUUGGAUACUGCUAGGCUUGAGUAUGGGAGAGGUGAGCGGAAUUCCAGGUGUAGAGGUGAAAUUCGUAGAUAUCUGGAGGAACAACAGAGGCGAAGGCGGCUCACUGGACCAUAACUGACACUGAGAUACGAAAGCGUGGGGAGCAAACGGG
rnacentral:rRNA from 1 species